GACGAACGCUGGCGGCGUGCUUAACACAUGCCAGUCGAACGGAAAGGCCCUGCUUUUGUGGGGUGCUCGAGUGGCGAACGGGUGAGUAACACGUGAGUAACCUGCCCUUGACUUUGGGAUAACUUCAGGAAACUGGGGCUAAUACCGGAUAGGAGCUCCUUCUGCAUGGUGGGGGUUGGAAAGUUUCGGCGGUUGGGGAUGGACUCGCGGCUUAUCAGCUUGUUGGUGGGGUAGUGGCUUACCAAGGCUUUGACGGGUAGCCGGCCUGAGAGGGUGACCGGCCACAUUGGGACUGAGAUACGGCCCAGACUCCUACGGGAGGCAGCAGUGGGGAAUAUUGCACAAUGGGCGGAAGCCUGAUGCAGCAACGCCGCGUGCGGGAUGACGGCCUUCGGGUUGUAAACCGCUUUCGCCUGUGACGAAGCGUGAGUGACGGUAAUGGGUAAAGAAGCACCGGCUAACUACGUG
rnacentral:rRNA from 1 species